UAAAGUCAACAGUUCUGAAAU
rnacentral:piRNA from 1 species